rnacentral:lncRNA from 1 species
GAGCACAACGUCGAAAGCAGCCGUUGGGAGCCCAGGAGGCGGGGCGCCUGUGGGAGCCGUGGAGGGAACUUUCCCAGUCCCCGAGGCGGAUCCGGUGUUGCAUCCUUGGAGCGAGCUGAGAGCUCGAGGUGAGCUGGGCUCGCGGUCGCCCCUCUCGCGCGCCCUCUUUAAGAACCACGGCGUCCAACCUCCCUGGAAAUGGGGGGAACAUGGCCGAGGCGCGUGGCGAGGCCGCCUCGUGGAGGCCCCGGAGCGGCAUCCUCAGCGCCCCAGCGAUCCGGUGCCCAUUAGUACAGAACCUGCUAAGGCCAUCAAACCUAUUGAUCGGAAGUCAGUCCAUCAGAUUUGCUCUGGGCCGGUGGUACCGAGUCUAAGCACUGCGGUGAAGGAGUUAGUAGAAAACAGUCUGGAUGCUGGUGCCACUAAUAUUGAUCUAAAGCUUAAGGACUAUGGAGUGGAUCUCAUUGAAGUUUCAGGCAAUGGAUGUGGGGUAGAAGAAGAAAACUUCGAAGGCUUAACUCUGAAACAUCACACAUCUAAGAUUCAAGAGUUUGCCGACCUACCUCAGGUUGAAACUUUUGGCUUUCGGGGGGAAGCUCUGAGCUCACUUUGUGCACUGAGGUGAUAAAAUAUUUUUAUCCAUUCACUUGACCCCUUAGAAAAACCUCUCUGAAAAUUAAUUGGAAUCAUUAUUAUUUACAGUUUUCUGUCUCAAUAUCUCAGCUUCCAGCUUCUGAAUUCUGUUUUGUCUCACUGCCAAUCUAAGUCCUAGUACUUCUGAAAUGUGAGCAAUAAAUGAAUGAAAUGAAGCAAAUAGUAUUGUUAAAAAAAUUGGUUACCCUUAUUAAAACAGUAACUUCUCAAUUUGAACAUAACAUAUAGAUAAUAAAUGAUAGUUACCAUUGGUU